AUGCCCUGCAGUGCUGUCAACGAAGCCUUGUCACGUUCCACAGAGCAGCUAAGUCUGCUGAAAAAGCAAAGCCUGCUCUUACAGUUUCCUGCGAAACAGGAACCCCACCAGAGAGCAACUGCCGUGAUUAAUCCGAAAUGCCCAUUUGCCACGUCAGAAGAGAAAACCAUGGUGGGGAGUUCUGGGCUCUGCUGCCCUGGCGAGAACCCUCUGGAACAGGUGCUGCCACACCAUGAAACACACUUGGAAGAUGUUUCCCUUUCCCUUUGCCUGAAAUGCUUCACCGCCUUCACAGUCGUCUGGAACUACUUGUCACUUUCUCUGUCCCCGAGGCCCUACAUCCCCCAGGGGCAACUCAAGUUAAUAUACAGAAUUGAAAGGGGAGGAGGUGGGGAGCAGUUGGCGAAAUUAAAGAGGAACUAUGCCAAAGCACUGGUGUUACUGGUAGAACUAGCUUCACUUCAAGCUUCCUUUGUUACUUUGGAUGAAGCUAUUAAGAUAACCAACAGGUGUGUCAAUGCCAUUGAACACGUCAUCAUUCCCCGGAUUGAACAUACCCUUCACAGAGCUGGAUGAGAGAAAGCAAGAAGAGUUCUAUAGAUUAAAGAAAAUACAGAAGAAAAAGAUUCUCAAGGAAAAAUCGGAGAAGGACUUGGAGCAACAGAGGGCAGCUGGUGAGGUGAUGGAGCCUGCUAAUCUUUCGGCUGAAGAGAAGGAUGAAGAUCUUCUGUUUGGAUAAUCUUUCCUGCUCUGGUUCUCUCAUAAGCCCUAACUUGGCACCAUUUUAAUUCAUGGUGUGUAGGUUUGCUAUGUGUGGCUAUUUAUUUUUUGGCCUCAGAAUUUCACUGGUGGCAAAAUUUCCCUGGAUGUUGGUUAUGGGACUACCUUUGCAAAAUCCUAAUUCAGCAACCAUUUAUCACAUGAGAUUUGUAGAUCCUGCCCAGGAACCUGUAGAAUUUAUUCAGGAGAAGCAAUACGCUACUCCAUGUAUAUCUGUUUGAGUGAUCUGCUUACCAAGCAUAUUAGGAAAUCCCCCUUAGGAAAUAGCAGUGGCCUCAGGCCUCUGUUGCUGUAGCAGCCUGUGUUCCUACCUACUCCGACACCAUGGCACUGUGUUUCCUGAGAUCUCUGUGGCUAUCCUGUGGAACCCUGGUACUUCUCUCAAGCUUUAUGAAACCUUCACUAUUUUUCCUUUCAUGACAGGUCUCUGUCCUGUCUGUCAGGGGAGUUCUGCCAAUUUUAAUGUGAUUAUGGUAUAAACAGUAAAAUGAUUU